rnacentral:rRNA from 1 species
GCAUAUCAAUAAGCGGAGGAAAAGAAACCAACAGGGGAUUGCCCCCAGUAACGGCGAGUGAAGCGGCAACAGCUCAAAUUUGAAAUCUGGCCCUCGGGUCCGAGUUGUAAUUUGUAGAGGAUGCUUUUGGCGAGGUGCCUUCCGAGUUCCCUGGAACGGGACGCCAUAGAGGGUGAGAGCCCCGUCUGGUCGGACACCGAGCCUCUGUAAAGCUCCUUCGACGAGUCGAGUAGUUUGGGAAUGCUGCUCAAAAUGGGAGGUAUAUGUCUUCUAAAGCUAAAUAUUGGCCAGAGACCGAUAGCGCACAAGUAGAGUGAUCGAAAGAUGAAAAGCACUUUGAAAAGAGGGUUAAAAAGUACGUGAAAUUGUUGAAAGGGAAGCGCCUAUGACCAGACUUGGGCCCGGUGAAUCAUCCAGCGUUCUCGCUGGUGCACUUUGCCGGGCACAGGCCAGCAUCAGUUUGGCGCGGGGGAAAAAGGUUCUGGGAAUGUGGCUCCCUCGGGAGUGUUAUAGCCCAUUGCGUAAUACCCUGCGCCGGACUGAGGUACGCGCAUUGCAAGGAUGCUGGCGUAAUGGUCAUCAGCGACCCGUCUUGAAACACGGACCAAGGAGUCGUCUUCGUAUGCGAGUGUUCGGGUGUCAAACCCCUACGCGUAAUGAAAGUGAACGCAGGUGAGAGCUUCGGCGCAUCAUCGACCGAUCCUGAUGUUCUCGGAUGGAUUUGAGUAAGAGCAUACGGGGCCGGACCCGAAAGAAGGUGAACUAUGCCUGUAUAGGGUGAAGCCAGAGGAAAACUCUGGUGGAGGCUCGCAGCGGUUCUGACGUGCGAAUCGAUCGUCAAAUAUGGGCAUGGGGGGCGAAAGACUAAUCGAACCUUCUAGUAGCUGGUUUCCGCCGA